AUGCCAAUUCCACGGGAUUAGACAUUCCAGGGUGACGUACUCUUUGGCAAUCAAGUCAUUUCCCUCAUUCAGUUGAUAUGGAAUUUCCUCGUUCGGCGGCGUCACAGGCGCUUCACCCUGCCAGGCUCGCCUUCGCUGCCAAUCCGAAUCUACAACUUGUAUGAAUUGUGCUAAAUUGUUUUACCUCACGAUUGGGCGUGAUCUGUUGGUACGUAUAUUAACAAAGAGUGUGCUCCCGCUGGAAGAAUUGUCUGAGAGUGGAUAGUUACCCAAACGUUUUGUAUGUGAAGAAGCGGAAGAUGAGUGUUGCCAUUGUGCGACCGAGUGGAAGCUUCAAUGGUGCGGGUGAGCUCGCAUUUGGGGGCAGGGAGCCGCUUUGUGGGUAAUUGUCAAGCUGGUUUGAGGAUCAAGAUCGAUAAAUGCGUUUAGGGUUUUGGGGGAUAUGGAAGGGAUGGUGUAGAGCUCGGAUGACAGAGCUGCAACUUUUUCUAAUGUAUCGGAAAUUUUGGGACGUGGGUGUUCGAAGGCUGUGGAGGAGCGUUGGGUUUAGGACCGAAGUGGAGAGGGUGCUGUAGUGAGAACCAAUCUCAAUUCCAGUUGCAGACUAGGGUUAGGAAUGCCAGUAUUGUUGCCUUGGACAAGAAGGCUUUGAGUACGAAUGGGUGUGGUGUUGGGGGAAUGAUGUGGCGUGCAACGAAGGUUCGUAACUAAUGUGAGCUAAUGGUUCUUCAUUAAAGAAUAAUGAUACAGGAUCAAGGAAGGUCCAUACUGAUGCGUUUAUUUGGAGAAAACGUGAGCGAGCAUUGAGUUUUGAUUCAAUGGGAAAAAUACACUUCAGACAAAUAGAGUUUUUGGACUAUUUUCCAGAAUUCAAAGGAGCUGAUGGGAGAAUCUUUAGCCAGUGCAGUCUGAUUUGGAAAGAGUGAGAACAGAAAAGCCUUGAAACAACAAUAGGAUUGUGUCCUUCACCUAAGAUCAUAGUUUGACUUGAUUGAGUGUGAAGUAAGAAUUUCAGACUCCACGUGUGGGGAGGCUUCAAGAAGGCCUUAAGUACCUGCUUACACUUAGAUUUCUAUAACCAUUUCUACAUGAGGUAUGUGCAAUUUUAAUAUCAUUUUAGUUCUUUUUAACUUCUACGGAAUUGAAAGGUAACAUAGAGUAUAUCUCAUCAUUGCAUUUUCUAUUUAGCAUGUUAUACAUUGUAAAGUAGCAUAUUUUCAUGGACAAUGUGCAUUAAAACUUGAAUAUCAUAUGCAGAAUUUAACUAA